rnacentral:rRNA from 1 species
UACGUAGGGCGCAAGCGUUGUCCGGAAUUAUUGGGCGUAAAGAGCUCGUAGGCGGUUUGUCGCGUCUGCUGUGAAAACCUGGGGCUUAACCCCGGGCCUGCAGUGGGUACGGGCAGACUAGAGUGUGGUAGGGGAGACUGGAAUUCCUGGUGUAGCGGUGAAAUGCGCAGAUAUCAGGAGGAACACCGGUGGCGAAGGCGGGUCGCUGGGCCAUAACUGACGCUGAGGAGCGAAAGCGUGGGGAGCGAACAGG